UACAGAGGGUGCGAGCGUUGUCCGGAAUCACUGGGCGUAAAGGGCGCGUAGGUGGCGCGACAAGUCAGUGGUGAAAGUUCGACGCUCAACGUCGAAUCGGCCACUGAUACUGUUGGGCUUGAGCACUGUAGAGGCUAAUGGAAUUCCGGGUGUAGCGGUGGAAUGCGUAGAGAUCCGGAAGAACACCGGUGGCGAAGGCGGUUAGCUGGGCAGUUGCUGACACUGAGGCGCGACGAGCGUGGGGAGCAAACAGGG
rnacentral:rRNA from 1 species